UCCCAAAUCAAAAGGCCUUGAUGAGUGCAA
rnacentral:piRNA from 1 species